rnacentral:lncRNA from 1 species
AUUUUUUUACAUUUUCAAAUACCAUAUUAAGUUGCCACACAACUUUUUUCCAUGUUGGAUCAUAUGAGACCCUCUUGUUCUUCUUUCUUGCCCUUAAAUUAUCAGAUCUUUCAAUAUCUAUUUCCCCCUCACUUUCACUUUCAAAACUAUCGGCAUCAGAACUGUCGUAAAAAGGCUCAUCACCUACUAGCUUACCAGUUAAAUUUUUGUUGGAUUUAUCAAUGUCUUCAAAACCAGGAUCU